GGUCAGAGGAUGGAGUCCAUUCCUUCCAGUUCAGUGGUUAAAAAACCUGGAGAGACUCUGAGUUUGUCUUGCAGAGGAUCUGGCUUCACAUUUACUGACUAUGUUAUGGCCUGGAUCAGACAACCUGCAGGAAAAGGCCUGGAAUGGAUAGGAUAUGGAUACUCCAGCCAAAGCAGCAACAUCUAUGCCAGCAGUGUGAGAGGACGAAUUGAAAUCAGCAGAGAAGACAGUAACAGCAUGACCCAUCUGAGACUAUCCAAUCUGAAGCCAGAGGACUCUGCUGUGUAUUACUGUGCUGUAGAGCACAGUGGUUGA